rnacentral:rRNA from 1 species
UACGGAGGGUGCAAGCGUUAUCCGGAUUCACUGGGUUUAAAGGGUGCGUAGGUGGGUUGGUAAGUCAGUGGUGAAAUCCCCGAGCUUAACUUGGGAACUGCCAUUGAUACUAUCAGUCUUGAAUACCGUGGAGGUCAGCGGAAUAUGUCAUGUAGCGGUGAAAUGCUUAGAUAUGUCACAGAACACCAAUUGCGAAGGCAGCUUACUAAGGUGCAAUUGACGCUGAGGCACGAAAGCGUGGGGAUCAAACAGG